AAAGCUGGCGUCUUCGGCGUCCGCAUUGUAAUCUCAAGAAGUGUUUUCCGCUUCGGACCAUGCCUAAGUCCCUUGGAAAAGGGCAUCAUAGAGGGUGAUAAUCCCGUACAUGGCAUGGAGCGCCCGAAGCUUUGUGAUACGCUUUCUAAGAGUCGAGUUGUUUGGGAAUGCAGCUCAAAAUGGGUGGUAAAUGCCAUCUAAGGCUAAAUAUUGGGGAGAGACCGAUAGCGAACAAGUACAGUGAUGGAAAGAUGAAAAGAACUUUGAAAAGAGAGUUAAACAGUACGUGAAAUUGCCAAAAGGGAAGGGUAGGAGGUCAGAGAUGCGGCCUGGGAUUCAGCCUUGCUUUUGCUUGGUGUUUUUCCCAGAUUGCAGGCCAACGUCGGUUUUGGGCACUGGAGAAGGGUAGGAGGAACGUGGCACCUCUCGGGGUGUGUUAUAGCCUCCUACUGGAUACAGCGACCGAGACCGAGGACAGCAGCGUACUCGCAAGAGCGGGCCUUCGGGCACCUUUACGCUUAGGGCGUUGGCAUAAU
rnacentral:rRNA from 1 species